AGUGAACGCUGGCGGUAGGCCUAACACAUGCAAGUCGAACGGCAGCACAGUAAUAGCUUGCUCUUACGGGUGGCGAGUGGCGGACGGGUGAGGAAUACAUCGGAAUCUACUUUUUCGUGGGGGAUAACGUAGGGAAACUUACGCUAAUACCGCAUACGACCUACGGGUGAAAGCAUGGGAUCUUCGGACCUUGCGCGAUUGAAUGAGCCGAUGUCGGAUUAGCUAGUUGGCGGGGUAAAGGCCCACCAAGGCGACGAUCCGUAGCUGGUCUGAGAGGAUGAUAAGCCACACUGGAACUGAGACACGGUCCAGACUCCUACGGGAGGCAGCAGUGGGGAAUAUUGGACAAUGGGCGCAAGCCUGAUACAGCCAUACCGCGUGGGUGAAGAAGGACUUCGGGUUGUAAAGCCCUUUUGUUGGGAAAGAAAAGCAGCAGGUUAAUACCCCGCUGUUAUGACGGUACCCAAAGAAUAAGCACCGGCUAACUUCGUG
rnacentral:rRNA from 1 species